rnacentral:rRNA from 1 species
CAGACGACGCGGUAAUACCGGCGGCCCGAGUGGCGGCCACUAUUAUUGGGCUUAAAGAGUCCGUAGCCGGGUUGGUUAGACUCCCGGGAAAUCUGGCCGCUUAACGGUCAGCAAACCGGGAGAUACUACCAGCCUAGGGACCAGGAGAGGCCGAGGGUCAUCCCGGAGUAGGGGUGAAAUCCUAUAAUCCCGGGAGGACCACCUGUGGCGAAGGCGCUCGGCUGGAACGGGUCCGACGGUGAGGGACGAAGGCCAGGGGAGCAAGUCGGAUUAGAUACCCGGGUAGUGCUGGCUGUAAACGAUGCGGACUUUGUGUGGGACAAGCUAUGAGCUUGUCCGGUGCCGGAGGGAAACCUUUAAGUCCGCCGCCUGGGGAGUACGGCCGCAAGGCUGAAACUUAAAGGAAUUGGCGGG